GAAGUUGCACUGACCUGGCCAGCCCUGCCACUUACCAGGUUGGAAUCUAGUGAACUUGAUGAGUCAAGACUAUUGCAAUUGGAAAUCUGUUCUCCUCUGCUGCUGCAUUCCCUGCUUAAUACUCAAGCCAGAAACCAGGAAGGCUGUGGCUUGCCUUUUCACUUCUUGUGUCCUGUUUAAGAAAUAUCUACUAUCCCAAGCAUCUGGCAUCUUUCUUGACACAUGUAGCAGUUGCUUUUUGACAGCUUGCUUCUUCAGUGAAUGAAUAAAUUAAUAAAGAGAAAUGUGAUGUUCAGUGAUCCAUUUUGCAGCAUUUAUUAAAUACUAGUGCAUAAUGAUGGAAUAAAUUUUAUACCGUAAGGAUAAACCAGUAUUCUGGACUAAGCCAACCUGGGAGACCCUAGGAGGCCUGUUUGAGAAAGUGACAUUUAAAUUGAGACUUGGCGGUGGCUGUGGCUACAUAUCUAAUUGCAAACUCCUAGAGAAGGGCUCAACAGUGAGUGCUGAGGCUGCACAGAGGAGGAAGGCAGCACAAUGAUGGAAGGCUUCCUAAAGAGAUAACACUAACAAAGUUGACCUUAGAAUUGGAGUGCCUGGGUUAGAACCCUGCUGGUACCACCUGCUUACUGCAUGCUUCUGAUGUGAGUUCAGGAGAAGACACUGGCAAGGACAGCAAAGAACAGGAGAACACUCUAGCUUCCCUGAUAGCAUUCAAGGUGCUGUCCAAACUGACUGUGAUGGCACCCUCCAGACAGACAGCGAUGCCACAUGUUCAAGAUGGCAGAAUCACUAUCAGCUUCAAUUCCUGAAUGACUGCAGAGCAAAAUUUCUUACCCGCAACAUACACUCUAUUUUCAGCCUCCCUGGACUGUUACAUAAUGAUACAUAAAAAUAUUUCUUGUGUUGAGGCAUCCCAAAUUUGAUCUAUUUGUCAUCACAGUCUAUCCUCUGAAUAUAUUUCUGAUCCAAA
rnacentral:lncRNA from 1 species